CAGCACCUCAAGUAGUCAGGAUGAUUAUUGGGCCUAAAGCAUCCGUAGCCGGCGCUGUAAGUUUUCGGUUAAAUCUGUACGCUCAACGUACAGGCUGCCGGGAAUACUGCAGCGCUAGGGAGUGGGAGAGGUAGACGGUACUCGGUAGGAAGGGGUAAAAUCCUUUGAUCUAUUGAUGACCACCUGUGGCGAAGGCGGUCUACCAGAACACGUCCGACGGUGAGGGAUGAAAGCUGGGGGAGCAAACCGGAUUAGAUACCCGUGUAGUCC
rnacentral:rRNA from 1 species